GUGGCGGAAACCGAAGAGGUCGAGGUGCUGGUCUGUGAAACCAGUGUUAGCGAGUUCGAGUCUCGUCCGUCACUCCA
rnacentral:tRNA from 1 species